AUGAACGCUAGCGGGAGGCCUAACACAUGCAAGCCGAGCGGUAGAGAUCUUUCGGGAUCUUGAGAGCGGCGUACGGGUGCGGAACACGUGUGCAACCUGCCUUUAUCAGGGGGAUAGCCUUUCGAAAGGAAGAUUAAUACCCCAUAAUAUAAGAAACGGCAUCGUUUUUUAUUGAAAACUCCGGUGGAUAGAGAUGGGCACGCGCAAGAUUAGAUAGUUGGUGAGGUAACGGCUCACCAAGUCUACGAUCUUUAGGGGGCCUGAGAGGGUGAUCCCCCACACUGGUACUGAGACACGGACCAGACUCCUACGGGAGGCAGCAGUGAGGAAUAUUGGACAAUGGGUGGGAGCCUGAUCCAGCCAUCCCGCGUGAAGGACGACGGCCCUAUGGGUUGUAAACUUCUUUUGUAUAGGGAUAAACCUACCCUCGUGAGGGUAGCUGAAGGUACUAUACGAAUAAGCACCGGCUAACUCCGUGCCAGCCGCCGCCGUAAGAC
rnacentral:rRNA from 1 species